rnacentral:ribozyme from 1 species
AUCAUGUAAAAGAAGAACAAGGCGACAAAGAAAAUAAUAAUGAUGAUGACGAUAUACCAGCAGAAGAUAGGCUCUAUACAAAUAUAUGUUUUAAUCUCUGCUCCUGUCAUUUGCACCCUCUUUUUUUGUUUUUUAAAGUUUUUUUUUUUUUUUUUUCUGUUGUGCCUUGUGAUACACAAAAAAA